rnacentral:rRNA from 1 species
GAUGAACGCUGGCGGCGUGCCUAAUACAUGCAAGUCGAGCGAACAGACGAGGAGCUUGCUCCUCUGACGUUAGCGGCGGACGGGUGAGUAACACGUGGAUAACCUACCUAUAAGACUGGGAUAACUUCGGGAAACCGGAGCUAAUACCGGAUAAUAUAUUGAACCGCAUGGUUCAAUAGUGAAAGACGGUUUUGCUGUCACUUAUAGAUGGAUCCGCGCCGCAUUAGCUAGUUGGUAAGGUAACGGCUUACCAAGGCGACGAUGCGUAGCCGACCUGAGAGGGUGAUCGGCCACACUGGAACGGAGACACGGUCCAGACGCCUACGGGAGGCAGCAGUAGGGAAUCUGCCGCAAUGGGCGAAAGCCUGACGGAGCAACGCCGCGUGAGUGAUGAAGGUCUUCGGAUCGUAAAACUCUGUUAUUAGGGAAGAACAAAUGUGUAAGUAACUAUGCACGUCUUGACGGUACCUAAUCAGAAAGCCACGGCUAACUACGUG